rnacentral:lncRNA from 1 species
AAAAGCUUAUUUUCUUGAUCGAAAUCAAGGUUAGAAGAAAUUAUAGCCGGUAGUUUUUCAUUCAUCUCUAAAUAAGCAUAUUUCAUAUUUUCAGGAAGUUGCUUCAGCUCGAGGGAAGAUGGCUGCUCAAUAGAAGGAGUGUUUGGGGAAGCCGGGAUGUCAAGAGCUUUAUCUACAUGAACAACUUUAUUUGCAACAUCAUCUGCAGUAAGAAUAUCAACUUGCAAG